UAGGGAAUCUUCCGCAAUGGGCGAAAGCCUGACGGAGCAACGCCGCGUGAGUGAUGAAGGUCUUCGGAUCGUAAAACUCUGUUAUUAGGGAAGAACAAAUGUGUAAGUAACUAUGCACGUCUUGACGGUACCUAAUCAGAAAGCCACGGCUAACUACGUGCCAGCAGCCGCGGUAAUACGUAGGUGGCAAGCGUUAUCCGGAAUUAUUGGGCGUAAAGCGCGCGUAGGCGGUUUUUUAAGUCUGAUGUGAAAGCCCACGGCUCAACCGUGGAGGGUCAUUGGAAACUGGAAAACUUGAGUGCAGAAGAGGCAAGUGGAAUUCCAUGUGUAGCGGUGAAAUGCGCAGAGAUAUGGAGGAACACCAGUGGCGAAGGCGACUUUCUGGUCUGUAACUGACGCUGAUGUGCGAAAGCGUGGGGAUCAAACAGG
rnacentral:rRNA from 1 species